rnacentral:lncRNA from 1 species
AUCAUACAUGUAUAUAUAUACGUGUAUAUAUAUAUAUAUAUGAUUUCUCGAAGAAUUACGAUAUUGUUUUCAGUAACCGAACAGGAACAGCAUAAAAUAUUAACGAAAGAAAUAUUCAAUUUUUGGCGCAUCUACUUUAGAUAUGAAUGCAAACUUUGUUCAUCAAAUAUUCUUUAAGUAUUGAUUCUUUGCGGUUCUUUUUUUCUUAUUCUUCGUCUUCCCUUGUUUCGUAUGUGGACCGUGCAUAUUGUAAUUCCUGUCUGGAGAUAAUGCCAAAGAAAGAAAUUUUUGUAAGGCAACGAAACCGCUAUGCUAAUGGACUUUUGCUUCGUUUUGUCUUUUCGUUUGAUCACAGCCAUCCAAAACUUCAAUAAUUGUCUUUGACUGGACAGUUAGCAUAUCAAAUAGGUUGUGAACGAUAAGACAGAGAGAAUGAGAGGGAGAGAGCAAGAGAGAGAGAAAAUUCUUGAUGCCAGUUCGUAGAAAAUAAUAAAACGGUGUUGAAUUGCAAAAUACCUGUUAAUAAUCUUCGAAGAAUGACUUAGUAAUUCACUUCAGUCACUAUCGCUUUUGUCUAGUGAAUAUUCUCAUAUAAAAGACACUGAAAUAAUGCAUUUUUUUUCUGGAUACGCGUUUAUCCAUCUAAGUGCGAUUAUUUCGAUGACGUUAACCCGAACAUCGCAAACAUUUGUCGUUAAAAAAAUUAAUUUAAUUCUAAAUUUAACAUUUUAAUUACAUAAAAUUAUUUUAUCGCUUUAUACUGUCCGUAAAAUUUCUGAAUUAAUUUUAUUUUUCGCCAAAGAGAACUUGGCAUUAAUAGAAAUUUAAAUUAAUGAAUAUUUAUAUGCUUUCCAUUAAUUAUAAUAUACCUC